rnacentral:rRNA from 1 species
UACGAAGGGGGCUAGCGUUGUUCGGAAUCACUGGGCGUAAAGCGCACGUAGGCGGGCUGCCAAGUCUGGGGUGAAAUCCCACGGCUCAACCGUGGAACUGCCUCGGAUACUGGCGACCUCGAGGGGGGUAGGGGCGUGCGGAACUGUGGGUGGAGCGGUGAAAUGCGUUGAUAUCCACAGGAACUCCGGUGGCGAAGGCGGCACGCUGGACCUCUUCUGACGCUGAGGCGCGAAAGCCAGGGGAGCAAACGGG